CUACGGGAUGCACCAGUGAGGAAUAUUGCACAAUGGGGGGAACCCUGAUGCAGCAACGCCGCGUGGAGGAUGACGCAUUUCGGUGUGUAAACUCCUUUUAUAUGUCAAGAAAAUGACGGUAGCAUAUGAAUAAGCACCGGCUAACUCCGUGCCAGCAGCCGCGGUAAUACGGAGGGUGCAAGCGUUACUCGGAAUCACUGGGCGUAAAGGACGCGUAGGCGGGUUGGAAAGUCAGGUGUGAAAUCCUACAGCUUAACUGUAGAACUGCACUUGAAACUUCUAAUCUAGAGUAUGGGAGGGGGAGAUGGAAUUAGUGGUGUAGGGGUAAUAUCCGUAGAUAUCACUAGGAAUACCUAAAGCUAAGGCGAUCUCCUGGAACAUUACUGACGCUAAGGCGUGAAAGCGUGGGGAGCAAACAGGAUUAGAUACCCGCGUAGUC
rnacentral:rRNA from 1 species